UACGUAGGGUCCGAGCGUUGUCCGGAAUUAUUGGGCGUAAAGGGCUCGUAGGCGGUUUGUCACGUCGGGAGUGAAAUCUUACAGCUUAACUGUGAACUUGCUUUCGAUACGGGCAGACUUGAGGCAUUCAGGGGAGAACGGAAUUCCUGGUGUAGCGGUGAAAUGCGCAGAUAUCAGGAGGAACACCGGUGGCGAAGGCGGUUCUCUGGGAAUGUACUGACGCUGAGGAGCGAAAGUGUGGGAGGCGAACAGG
rnacentral:rRNA from 1 species